AUUUAUCUCUACAACAAUCGAAAAUAAGUGGCAACCUUACACUACUAUGCUAAGGGAUAACACUUUGUAUACAGGGAAAGCAUUGUUUACGAACCUUCUCUUUGCUCCCAUGAAUAGUAAU